rnacentral:rRNA from 1 species
UCCGUAGGUGAACCUGCGGAAGGAUCAUUACACUCAGUAGUUCUCUACUGCUCAGGGGGAGCGGAACGCCCAUGGGCCUGCUUCGGCGGCCGGUGUGCCAGUACGCUCUCUGUCUGAACCCCUGUCUUUUUGCGUACUCUUGUUUCCUCGGCGGGCUUGCCCGCCGGCUGGACAACCUCCUAAACCUUUUUAAUUGUCAAUCAGCGUCUGAAAUAUAAGAAUAAUUACAACUUUCAACAACGGAUCUCUUGGUUCUGGCAUCGAUGAAGAACGCAGCGAAAUGCGAUAAGUAGUGUGAAUUGCAGAAUUCAGUGAAUCAUCGAAUCUUUGAACGCACCUUGCGCCCUUUGGUAUUCCGAAGGGCAUGCCUGUUUGAGUGUCAUGAAACCUCACCCCACUUGGGUUUUUGCCUGAGCGGUGGUGUAUUGGGUGUUGCCUUGCUAAAGGCUCGCCUUAAAGACAUAAGCACCUUGGAUGUAAUACGUUUCAUCCUUCUGGGUGGCUGAUAACCCCACAUAUUCAUGAUCUGGCCUCAAAUCAGGUAGGGCUACCCGCUGAACUUAAGCAUAUCAAUAAGCGGAGGAA